rnacentral:rRNA from 1 species
UAAUGUGAUUAAAUUUUAAUAAAAAAUAAAAAAAAUGCCCGAUCUCAUCUGAACUCAUCUGGAAGUAAAGCAGGGUCGGGCCUGGUUAGUACUUGGAUGGGAGACCGCCUGGGAAUACCAGGUGCUGUAAGCU